CUACUUUGUUUCAUUUGUCAAACUGUUAUUCAAAUAGAAAAAAUAUAAAUGUUAAUUUUUUGACGUACAUGUGUAUACAGUUGAAGGGAAAGUAAUUGAACCUGCUGGGGAUUUUUUCAUGUUAACUGUCAUCACCCGAGGUGGUAAAGGAUAAAGAAAAGGAAAUUAAUGAGAUCUCAAGAACCAUAAAACAAGAUGCCUGCUGAUGCCUUUGGUUUCUUUGACGUGUAGGCGGCAAAGAUGAAAGGAAAAUAAUUCCCAAUUAAUUCAGUUUAGGCUUUAAAUUAAGUUAAAAAUUAUGCCGUCGUUUUUUAAUCGUCUUCGGAUCAGUAGUAUAGAUUUUUUUUAUCCAUUUUAUUGUAUGCUUUGGAAUUGUUCAAUAAAUAAAUAAAAAAGUC